UGUCUCUGUUAAUUGCUCCCACCUACCUCUCUUUUUCCAAUCACCCAAGCUCCCAGCCCUCAUGUAUUUAAACCCUCUCAGUUCUGUGUCUUUUGACGGUUUAUUGUUUCAGUGUCCAGCGCGUUUUUAUAUUAAACUUUACUAAACGUUCGUGUCUAUCUGCCUGCCUUCCUCACCCGCAUGUGGAUCCUCACCUCCGCUUCACUCACCAGCAUGCCGUGACAGAUUAUCUCAGCAAUGCAGAAGUGCUCACUAUCACACAUUUAGAUUGAUUUGUGAACAAUGUUUGAGAAAAAUGGUAAUAUUGUGUAUCUGGAAUGUAUUUUAGAUCUUUAUGUCCAUCUCAUGGAAAAUCGGAGCAGAAACAAAGGUGUUGCGUUUAUAUUUUUGUUGAGUGUAUGUGUAAAUGCGGUGUUGGUCAGAACUUCAGAAUCUCGGAAAGCGGCGUCUCUGGAUGAAAAAGAAUUUGGUUUGUUCUAAACUAUGAUGUUAUCUUCAGAAGCACAUUCAGACGCAAUCUCUGUGUUCUACCUCACCCUUUUGAUGACCUUCGUCACGGAUUCGGAGGUCAGAGAGGCAGGAUGACCUCUGGGCACCCAGGUCCGGUAGAUUGACUGCGAGCACCGACUUCUCCGGUCCAAAAGAUAUCACCACGCAGCACAGGUGUGAGGACCUUGUCGUCAAAACAUCUGAGGAGACAGAAAAAUGGGAACGGUGCGGUAAAGUUAUGAGGAAAAACAGUUCAGAAGUUAACCUUUCUACCUAUUACUUACCUAAAAAUGUUUUUGUGUAACAGAUGAUGCAUUCUGGAUAAUUGGAGUGUCGAGAAAACCGGAUGACUUUUGAACGUUUUGAAGUCUCCUCGACGAGGGAGUGGAGAGCCGGACCAGAACACAUCAUCUCCUUUUCCAAGGGUGAUGAACGAGAUGUACUGAACCUCACUGAGGAAACAGCACCGGCAGGAUUCAGCAGUGUGGUAGGACUGACUUUGGGUUGCAAUGAUUAUAAAUUUAUAA